rnacentral:rRNA from 1 species
UACAGAGGUCUCAAGCGUUUGUUCGGAUUCAUUGGGCGUAAAGGGUGCGUAGGCGGCGCGGUAAGUCGGGUGUGAAAUCUUGGAGCUUAACUCCGAAACUGCAUUCGAUACUGCCGUGCUUGAGGACUGGAGAGGAGACUGGAAUUUACGGUGUAGCGGUGAAAUGCGCAGAUAUCGGGAAGAACACCCGUGGCGAAGGCGGUUCUCUGGGACGGUACUGACGCUGAGACGCGAAAGCGUGGGGAGCGAACAGG